AUUGAACGCUGGCGGCAGGCCUAACACAUGCAAGUCGAACGGCAGAACAGAACUUGCUCGUUGAUUCAGCGGCCGAGUGGCGGGUGAUUCCGGGGAAUCUCGGUGUCAGCUGUUUAGUACGGCCUAACACGGGGACUCAUACGCCAUACCUCCUGACGGACUAAGGGUGGGAGCUUGGGACCUUAGGCUAUUACGUGAUUCUAUGUGCCGAUGUCGGAUUAGCUAGUUGGCGGGGUAAAGGCCCACCAAGGCGUCGAUCCGCAGCUGGUCUGAGAGGAUGAUCAGCCACACUGGAACUGAGACACGGUCCAGACUCCUACGGGAGGCAGCAGUGGGGAAUAUUGGACAAUGGGCGCAAGCCUGAUCCAGCCAUACCGCGUGGGUGAAGAAGGCCUUCGGGUUGUAAAGCCCUUUUGUUGGGAAAGAAAAGCAGCAGGUUAAUACCCCGCUGUUCUGACGGUACCCAAAGAAUAAGCACCGGCUAACUUCGUG
rnacentral:rRNA from 1 species